UACGUAGGGUGCAAGCGUUAAUCGGGAUUACUGGGCGUAAAGCGUGCGCAGGCGGUUUCGUAAGUCUGUCGUGAAAUCCCCGGGCUUAACCUGGGAAUGGCGAUGGAGACUGCGAGGCUAGAGUUUGGCAGAGGGGGGUAGAAUUCCACGUGUAGCAGUGAAAUGCGUAGAGAUGUGGAGGAACACCGAUGGCGAAGGCAGCCCCCUGGGUCAAAACUGACGCUCAUGCACGAAAGCGUGGGGAGCAAACAGG
rnacentral:rRNA from 1 species